rnacentral:rRNA from 1 species
UUGUUCCAAUCCGGGAGCUAGUGAGGUUGGGGAAGGCAAAUCCACCCAGCCGUCAGCCUGGAAAAUCCGCUAAGGUUAGGGCAGAAGAAUCCGUACCACAAACCGACACAGGUGGACAAGAUGAGUAUUCUCAGGCGCUCGGGUGAUGGUCUGCGAAGGAACUAGGCAAAUUAGCUCCGUAACUUCGGGAGAAGGAGUGCCCACCUCAGACGUGGGUCGCAGUGAAUAGCGUCAGGCGACUGUUUAACAAAAACACAGGUCUCUGCUAAGUCAAAAAAACGACGUAUAGGGGCUGACGCCUGCCCGGUGCCGGAAGGUUAAAAGGAGGGGUUAGUCGCAAGGCGAAGCUCUGAAUUGAAGCCCCGGUGAACGGCGGCCGUAACAAUAACGGUCCUAAGGUAGCAAAAUUCCUUGUCGGGUAAGUUCCGACCUGCACGAAUGGCGUAACGAUCUGACGACUGUCGGCGCAGGCCGCCCGGCGAACUUGUGGUUCCGGUGAAGACGCCGGAUGCCCGCCACUAGACGAAAAGACCCCGUGCACCUUUACUAUACUUUAACAAUGAAUUAUGGGGUGGACUGCGUAGGAUAGGUGGGAGGCUUUGAACCCGGAUUCUUGGAUUCGGGGGAGCCAAUGGUGAAAUACCACCCUGUUUAUUCUGUGAUUCUAACCUACCGACCUGAUCGGCCGGAGGGACAUUGUUAGACGGGUAGUUUGACUGGGGCGGUCGCCUCCAAAAUUGUAACGGAGGCGUGCGAAGCUUGGUUCAGGAGGUUUGGAAAUCCUCCUUCGAGUGCAAUAGCAUAAACCAGGUUGACUGUGAGACCUACAAGUCAAGCAGCUGCGAAAGCAGGCUAUAGUGAUCCGGUGAUUCUGUAUGGAAGGGUCAUCGCUCAACGGAUAAAAGGUACGCCGGGGAUAACAGGCUGAUCGGAGUCAAGAGUUCAUAUCGACGCUCCGGUUUGGCACCUGGAUGUCGGUUCAUCGCAUCCCGGGGGUGUAGAAGCUCCCAAGGGUUAGGCUGUUCGCCUAUUAAAGCGGUACUGAACUGGGUUCAGAACGUCGCGAGACAGUUCGGUCUCUAUCUGUGGUGGGCGUAGGAAAUUUGAAAGGAUCUGCCUUUAGUACGAGGGGACCGAGGUGGACGAACCUCUUGUGAUCCAGUUGUCCCGCCAGGGGCACCGCUGGGUAGCGAAGUUCGGUUAGGAUAAGCGCUGAAUGCAUAUAAGCGCGAAACCUUCCUUAAGAUGAGAUUUCCCAAGCGCAAGCUAUGAAGGGCCGUGGAAGACGACCACGUUGAUAGGCUGGGUGUGUAAGCGUAGUAAUACGUUAAGCUGACCAGUACUAAUCGCCCGUUCGGCUUGACC